rnacentral:rRNA from 1 species
CUUGCUACAGGCUUAACACAUGCAAGUCGAGGGGCAUCAGGAAGAAAGCUUGCUUUCUUUGCUGGCGACCGGCGCACGGGUGAGUAACACGUAUCCAACCUGCCCUUUACUCGGGGAUAGCCUUUCGAAAGAAAGAUUAAUACCCGAUGGCAUAAUGAUUCCGCAUGGUUUCAUUAUUAAAGGAUUCCGGUAAAGGAUGGGGAUGCGUUCCAUUAGGUUGUUGGUGAGGUAACGGCUCACCAAGCCUUCGAUGGAUAGGGGUUCUGAGAGGAAGGUCCCCCACAUUGGAACUGAGACACGGUCCAAACUCCUACGGGAGGCAGCAGUGAGGAAUAUUGGUCAAUGGGCGCUAGCCUGAACCAGCCAAGUAGCGUGAAGGAUGAAGGCUCUAUGGGUCGUAAACUUCUUUUAUAUAAGAAUAAAGUGCAGUAUGUAUACUGUUUUGUAUGUAUUAUAUGAAUAAGGAUCGGCUAACUCCGUGCCAGCAGCCGCGGUAAUACGGAGGAUCCGAGCGUUAUCCGGAUUUAUUGGGUUUAAAGGGAGCGUAGGUGGACUGGUAAGUCAGUUGUGAAAGUUUGCGGCUCAACCGUAAAAUUGCAGUUGAUACUGUCAGUCUUGAGUACAGUAGAGGUGGGCGGAAUUCGUGGUGUAGCGGUGAAAUGCUUAGAUAUCACGAAGAACUCCGAUUGCGAAGGCAGCUCACUGGACUGCAACUGACACUGAUGCUCGAAAGUGUGGGUAUCAAACAGGAUUAGAUACCCUGGUAGUCCACACAGUAAACGAUGAAUACUCGCUGUUUGCGAUAUACAGUAAGCGGCCAAGCGAAAGCAUUAAGUAUUCCACCUGGGGAGUACGCCGGCAACGGUGAAACUCAAAGGAAUUGACGGGGGCCCGCACAAGCGGAGGAACAUGUGGUUUAAUUCGAUGAUACGCGAGGAACCUUACCCGGGCUUAAAUUGCAGUGGAAUGAUGUGGAAACAUGUCAGUGAGCAAUCACCGCUGUGAAGGUGUUGCAUGGUUGUCGUCAGCUCGUGCCGUGAGGUGUCGGCUUAAGUGCCAUAACGAGCGCAACCCUUAUCUUUAGUUACUAACAGGUUAUGCUGAGGACUCUAGAGAGACUGCCGUCGUAAGAUGUGAGGAAGGUGGGGAUGACGUCAAAUCAGCACGGCCCUUACGUCCGGGGCUACACACGUGUUACAAUGGGGGGUACAGAAGGCAGCUAGCGGGUGACCGUAUGCUAAUCCCAAAAGCCUCUCUCAGUUCGGAUCGAAGUCUGCAACCCGACUUCGUGAAGCUGGAUUCGCUAGUAAUCGCGCAUCAGCCACGGCGCGGUGAAUACGUUCCCGGGCCUUGUACACACCGCCCGUCAAGCCAUGGGAGCCGGGGGUACCUGAAGUACGUAACAGCAAGGAUCGUCCUAGGGUAAAACUGGUGACUGGG